CCCGCCACUAUACCUGCCUUGAAUUCAGUGGCUGGUGUGUUCCAGUGGUGAGCUGAGAGUGGCCCCGGCCCAGGAAGCAGUGCUCUUCUGGCUGUGGGGAGGUCUGUGCCGAAAGGCUGGGAACAAAG
rnacentral:snoRNA from 1 species